rnacentral:lncRNA from 1 species
CAUGGAUAUACCUAGCUCUAUUUUGGCUUCAGAGCAGUCUAGCAGUCAGUCCACAAUGAUGGGAUGUAUUUCUAGUCGUACCAAUAUCACUAAGCAUCGUGCAGUCGCAAAAGGAUGGUAGUGCAGAGACUUCUGCAAGUGAGACUGAAGGGAGCUGGAACCAGGGGGAUUUCCCAAAAAGAACAAGGAGAUCAGAUGUUGAUGGUUUCUAUUAAUCUUAGUGGAAAAAAAAACAAAACAACCAAACUAGUCAAUGAACCAACCAACCACCACCACCACCAACAAAAUCAAACAAUAACGAAGAACGCACAGAAAUACAGUCAAACAACAACAACAACAAAAAACAACGCAGUAAGUCCAAAGAGCAAUUCAUUUUUUUUCCACUGACUGUGGAGAGGUUGCAAAUUACCAACAUAGAUGCAACAACUAGCUUAUACAUACCAAAAAUUAGCCAGGGAAUUUGGUUCUAAAUACUUGACUUCGAAAAUG